rnacentral:misc_RNA from 1 species
GAUGAAGAACGCAGCGAAAUGCGAAAAGUAAUGUGAAUUGCAGAAUUCAGUGAAUCAUCGAAUCUUUGAACGCACAUUGCGCCCGCUGGUACUCCGGCGGGCACGCCUGUCCGAGCGUCAUUUCAACCCUCAAGCCCUCCUUCGGGAUGGGCCUGGUGUUGGGGCUCGGCCGCCAUCUCCGGCGGCCGUCCCCUAAAUACAGUAGCGGUCACGUCGCGACUCCUUUGCGUAGUAGAAACACCUCGCUCCGGAUAGCAACGCGGUCCACGCCGUAAAACCACCAAUUUUCAAUGGUUGACCUCGGAUCAGGUGGGAAUACCCGCUGAACUUAAGCAUAUCAAUAAGCGGAGGA